CACAGCAAUACUGGAGCUCUUCAAGAAGUACAUCAUCGCAGGACUUGCAUUUAACUUCUGUGGCUCUCCCUUCUGCCGUGUCCCUGAGAUGAUAACAGAGGUUCCUAGAGGUGGCUGGCAGAAAAUGAUGAUGGCAGAUACUGCUUCAUGGUGGCAGACCAGGAUGUCUCUGAGGUUUUGCCCUUGGCAGAUGUAAAUAGACCAGCAGACAACGUGCGGUGCACAGGGGAGGAGGAUGUGAUUAGUGUUUUCUGCCAUGGGAUGUCAGCUGAGGGAUAAGAACCGUGUGCCAAGAGGAGGAAAGAGCGGAUGGAUGGAUAUUCUUCUCUGCAGCCCGCCUGACAUCCAGCGGCGGCAAAGAAACAAACGCACAGAUCCAGGGAUGGGGCCAGAGCUGGCCCUGCAAGGGAGAAUCCAGCUCCAAGCACUCCAGGGAAGCAAACAGACCCUUUAAAGACGUUUAAUGCUGAAGAAAGCAGGAAGGGAUUCAGUAUGAAGCCACAAAACCAAUUUUGAGGAAGAAAUGCAGCUUGCCUCCUGUCCCCCACCCCUGCGAACCGAAGGGGAGAGGCUGUCCAUCGCUGUCCGUCACUUCGGGUUGGCAUCCUGGGCAAGGGCAGCAUCUCUGGGUGCUCAACGGUCUCUUUGAGCAUGGUUCGUUUUAGGUUGGCUGCCGCUGAUCCCAGCCCAUCUUCAGCACAUGGACACUUUUAACCCCUCGGGGAGGGGUCGGCGUGGCCAGCCGGAGGGGGAGAGCGCCAGCCCGCUGCACGCUCCGCAGCUGCCGAGGACACUGCCACGA